CAGAAUUUGGGUGGAGAAGGGCCACAAAAACAAUCAGAUGGAUGGAGCACCUCUCUUAUAAGGAACGGCUGAGAGAGCUGGGCUUGUUCAGCCUGGAGAAGAGAAGG